UUGAACGCUGGCGGCAGGCCUAACACAUGCAAGUCGAGCGGAUGAAGGGAGCUUGCUCCUGGAUUCAGCGGCGGACGGGUGAGUAAUGCCUAGGAAUCUGCCUGGUAGUGGGGGAUAACGUCCGGAAACGGGCGCUAAUACCGCAUACGUCCUGAGGGAGAAAGUGGGGGAUCUUCGGACCUCACGCUAUCAGAUGAGCCUAGGUCGGAUUAGCUAGUUGGUGGGGUAAAGGCCUACCAAGGCGACGAUCCGUAACUGGUCUGAGAGGAUGAUCAGUCACACUGGAACUGAGACACGGUCCAGACUCCUACGGGAGGCAGCAGUGGGGAAUAUUGGACAAUGGGCGAAAGCCUGAUCCAGCCAUGCCGCGUGUGUGAAGAAGGUCUUCGGAUUGUAAAGCACUUUAAGUUGGGAGGAAGGGCAGUAAGUUAAUACCUUGCUGUUUUGGCGUUACCAACAGAGUAAGCACCGGCUAACUUCGUG
rnacentral:rRNA from 1 species